rnacentral:rRNA from 1 species
UGAGGAAUCUUGCGCAAUGGGGGCAACCCUGACGCAGCAACGCCGCGUGAGUGAGGAAGGCCUUCGGGUCGUAAAGCUCUGUCGGAUGGAAAGAAACGGAUGCGGGUUAAUAGCCUUCAUCCCUGACGGUACCAUCAGAGGAAGCACCGGCUAGCUCCGUGCCAGCAGCCGCGGUAAUACGGGGGGUGCAAGCGUUGUUCGGAAUCAUUGGGCGUAAAGCGCGUGUAGGCGGCUUGGUAAGUCAGGUGUGAAAGCCCUGGGCUCAACCCAGGAAGUGCAAUUGAAACUGCCUUGCUUGAGUACGGGAGAGGAAGGCGGAAUUCCUGGUGUAGAGGUGAAAUUCGUAGAUAUCAGGAGGAACACCGGUGGCGAAGGCGGCUUUCUGGCCCAAUACUGACGCUGAGACGCGAAAGCGUGGGGAGCAAACAG